rnacentral:rRNA from 1 species
AGCGAACGCUGGCGGCAGGCCUAACACAUGCCAGUCGAACGAACCUUUCGGGGUUAGUGGCGGACGGGUGAGUAACACGUGGGAACGUGCCUUUAGGUUCGGAAUAACUCAGGGAAACUUGUGCUAAUACCGAAUGUGCCCUUCGGGGGAAAGAUUUAUCGCCUUUAGAGCGGCCCGCGUCUGAUUAGCUAGUUGGUUGAGGUAAUGGCUCACCAAGGCGACGAUCAGUAGCUGGUCUGAGAGGAUGAUCAGCCACAUUGGGACUGAGACACGGCCCAAACUCCUACGGGAGGCAGCAGUGGGGAAUCUUGCGCAAUGGGCGAAAGCCUGACGCAGCCAUGCCGCGUGAAUAAUGAAGGUCUUAGGAUUGUAAAAUUCUUUCACCGGGGACGAUAAUGACGGUACCCGGAGAAGAAGCCCCGGCUAACUUCGUG